rnacentral:rRNA from 1 species
GAUUAAGUUAUUAAGGGCGCACGGUGGAUGCCUUGGCACUAGAAGCCGAUGAAGGACGUUACUAACGACGAUAUGCUUUGGGGAGCUGUAAGUAAGCUUUGAUCCAGAGAUUUCCGAAUGGGGAAACCCAGCAUGAGUUAUGUCAUGUUAUCGAUAUGUGAAUACAUAGCAUAUCAGAAGGCACACCCGGAGAACUGAAACAUCUUAGUACCCGGAGGAAGAGAAAGAAAAUUCGAUUCCCUUAGUAGCGGCGAGCGAAACGGGAAGAGCCCAAACCAACAAGCUUGCUUGUUGGGGUUGUAGGACACUCUAUACGGAGUUACAAAGGACGACAUUAGACGAAUCAUCUGGAAAGAUGAAUCAAAGAAGGUAAUAAUCCUGUAGUCGAAAAUGUUGUCUCUCUUGAGUGGAUCCUGAGUACGACGGAGCACGUGAAAUUCCGUCGGAAUCUGGGAGGACCAUCUCCUAAGGCUAAAUACUCUCUAGUGACCGAUAGUGAACCAGUACCGUGAGGGAAAGGUGAAAAGCACCCCGGAAGGGGAGUGAAAUAGAACCUGAAACCGUGUGCUUACAAGUAGUCAGAGCCCGUUAAUGGGUGAUGGCGUGCCUUUUGUAGAAUGAACCGGCGAGUUACGAUUUGAUGCAAGGUUAAGCAGUAAAUGUGGAGCCGUAGCGAAAGCGAGUCUGAAUAGGGCGUUUAGUAUUUGGUCGUAGACCCGAAACCAGGUGAUCUACCCUUGGUCAGGUUGAAGUUCAGGUAACACUGAAUGGAGGACCGAACCGACUUACGUUGAAAAGUGAGCGGAUGAACUGAGGGUAGCGGAGAAAUUCCAAUCGAACCUGGAGAUAGCUGGUUCUCUCCGAAAUAGCUUUAGGGCUAGCCUCAAGUGAUGAUUAUUGGAGGUAGAGCACUGUUUGGACGAGGGGCCCCUCUCGGGUUACCGAAUUCAGACAAACUCCGAAUGCCAAUUAAUUUAACUUGGGAGUCAGAACAUGGGUGAUAAGGUCCGUGUUCGAAAGGGAAACAGCCCAGACCACCAGCUAAGGUCCCAAAAUAUAUGUUAAGUGGAAAAGGAUGUGGCGUUGCCCAGACAACUAGGAUGUUGGCUUAGAAGCAGCCAUCAUUUAAAGAGUGCGUAAUAGCUCACUAGUCGAGUGACACUGCGCCGAAAAUGUACCGGGGCUAAACAUAUUACCGAAGCUGUGGAUUGUCCUUUGGACAAUGGUAGGAGAGCGUUCUAAGGGCGUUGAAGCAUGAUCGUAAGGACAUGUGGAGCGCUUAGAAGUGAGAAUGCCGGUGUGAGUAGCGAAAGACGGGUGAGAAUCCCGUCCACCGAUUGACUAAGGUUUCCAGAGGAAGGCUCGUCCGCUCUGGGUUAGUCGGGUCCUAAGCUGAGGCCGACAGGCGUAGGCGAUGGAUAACAGGUUGAUAUUCCUGUACCACCUAUAAUCGUUUUAAUCGAUGGGGGGACGCAGUAGGAUAGGCGAAGCGUGCGAUUGGAUUGCACGUCUAAGCAGUAAGGCUGAGUAUUAGGCAAAUCCGGUACUCGUUAAGGCUGAGCUGUGAUGGGGAGAAGACAUUGUGUCUUCGAGUCGUUGAUUUCACACUGCCGAGAAAAGCCUCUAGAUAGAAAAUAGGUGCCCGUACCGCAAACCGACACAGGUAGUCAAGAUGAGAAUUCUAAGGUGAGCGAGCGAACUCUCGUUAAGGAACUCGGCAAAAUGACCCCGUAACUUCGGGAGAAGGGGUGCUCUUUAGGGUUAACGCCCAGAAGAGCCGCAGUGAAUAGGCCCAAGCGACUGUUUAUCAAAAACACAGGUCUCUGCUAAACCGUAAGGUGAUGUAUAGGGGCUGACGCCUGCCCGGUGCUGGAAGGUUAAGAGGAGUGGUUAGCUUCUGCGAAGCUACGAAUCGAAGCCCCAGUAAACGGCGGCCGUAACUAUAACGGUCCUAAGGUAGCGAAAUUCCUUGUCGGGUAAGUUCCGACCCGCACGAAAGGCGUAACGAUUUGGGCACUGUCUCAACGAGAGACUCGGUGAAAUCAUAGUACCUGUGAAGAUGCAGGUUACCCGCGACAGGACGGAAAGACCCCGUGGAGCUUUACUGUAGCCUGAUAUUGAAAUUCGGCACAGCUUGUACAGGAUAGGUAGGAGCCUUUGAAACGUGAGCGCUAGCUUACGUGGAGGCGCUGGUGGGAUACUACCCUAGCUGUGUUGGCUUUCUAACCCGCACCAC